rnacentral:rRNA from 1 species
AUACCCUAUUAUUUUGAGUGUUAAUUUUGCUUACCUGGGUACUAUUAGUUAAGAUCUUUAAACCCAAAGAAUUUGGCGGUACCUUAUUCCAUUCAGAGGAACCUACCCCAUAAUUGAUAAUACACGAUUGACUUUACUUAAUUUAUUUGUUUGUAUAUCUCCGUUAUCAGAAAAUCUUAUUGGAGUUAUAAUUUUCUUGAUUUAUAAUUAUAAAAUAUUUCAGGUCAAGGUGCAGCUUAUAAUUAAGAGGAGGUGGGUUACAAUAAAUUUUUGUUUAUUAUGGAUUUAAUGGUGAAAUACUAUUAAUGAAGGUGGAUUUGAUAGUAAUUUAAUUUAUUUAAUUUAAUUGAUAUUGGCUCUAAGGUGUGUACACAUCGCCCGUCGCUCUCA